rnacentral:lncRNA from 1 species
AUAUAUGUCUGGCCUGUUUCUGAUAAGAACGCCUUUCAAUGAUGCUUUAGGGAUAGUGUUUGCUUUGGCAGGAAACAGAGUCUUUGCUAGUUAAGGACUUUUUUUGUUUUUUGUUGACUUUUACAUCCAUUACAUGGAAUUUCAGCAGCUCAUAAUAUUCCUAAUAGAAAGAAAAAUCAUGGCCAAUUUUGAAAGCCAAAAACUUAACCUGUUUGUUGCCUCUAGGUCAAAUCAUUUAAUUGAACAAGUAAAAGAGAAUGCACUUCUGCCUGUUGGAGACACAAACUUUUAUAUUAUUUUCCAGCACCCUACUCAGAGCAAUGGAGGCUAACAGCACCGGGAGAACGAUAACAGAAUGAACAAGGGCCAACUUCCAACUCACAUCUACAUUUUUCAUGUUUCAGUUUGGUUUCUGACUUAAAUGUUAAGGAAGACAAAGAUUUUGUUUUGAGCGAUGACUACACUGGUUUUAAAAGUGGAACACUAGGAUGGCCCAUAAAUAUCCUUGAGAUCAGACCAUGUGGAUGGUCAUUUGCCUCUUCUACUUACUAAUUGGAAUUUUAGUAAAUUAAAUUUUCUUCGGAAAUUUAUUCUUUCUGGUCAUAGUGUUAGCUAAAAUACAGAUAAUACAACUGUUGUUAAAAUGUUACUGAAAAAUUAAAUGUACUGAUGUAGGUAAAUUGGAAAGUGCUUCAUUAACAGAACACUCUAUAGGAAGAAAAUAUAAUUGCUAUUCAUGUCAGUAUUUAUAUCCAGAUAUAAGAAUUUCAAAAUUCAUAUUUUGGAUUUUGUCUCUAAGUAAAUAGAAAUAUAAUAUAAUCAAUAGUAUCUUUAACAAUACCAUCACAGAAAAUAUACAGCAACAUUUACAAGGCUAAUCUUUAUAAAAGUCUUCAACUUUAGAUAGAAUCUUAAAAAGAAAAACUUUAAGUAGAAAUCCAAUCAAUGGCCUGCCAUAGCCUAUAAGCACAACCUUAUCACAACCCUUUGUACUCUCAGAGGUAUAUUGGGUAAAAUGCAUUACUAGACUGAAUGAUACUUAGGAGGGAAUAUACUAUGCUUUUGAAAAACAUUUCUUGUAAACUUUACAAGAAC